AAUUUUUUUUUUUUUUUUUUUUUUUUUUUUUUUUUUUUUUUUUUUUUAUAUAUGUUAGGGAGUAUAAGGAUUAUUAUAGUAGGGUGUAGUUUGUAGUAUUGAAUGUUUUUUUUUUUUUUUUUCUGUAAUGUGUUGAUUUCCACCGUAGAUUUUCUCACUAUUCGUGUAUAUGUCCCCACUCUUUCUAGUGUUUUAUGUGUGUGUUUAUAUAGGGAGUGUGUAUGUGUGCAGUGCAGACGUUAGGUUUAGUGCAUGUGUAUUCGUGUAGUGGGGAAGUUAGGUUUGGGGGAUGAUAGGAAAGUUAGGGAAAUGUUGGAGGUAAUGGGAAAGUUAGGGGAAUGUUGGAGGUAAUGGGAAAGUUAGGGGAAUGUUGGAGGUAAUGGGAAAGUUAGGUUUAUUUUUUUAUUUUUUUAAAUAUUUUAAAUAAAAUAAAAAUAAUAAAAUCUAUUUGAAAUUAACAAAAUACAAAUAAGUUAAAUAGCUAGUCUUAGAAAUAUGAUUAAAAAUUAUUAAUAUCACUAGAUUCUUUAUUAAAAGUUAAAAAUAAAAAACAAAUAAAUUUAGAAUUUUUUUUUAUAAAUAAAUAAACAAAUAAUAAUAAAAAUAAAAGAUUAUUAAAAUGUGGCUCUAUUUUUUAUAGUUUUCAAAACUUUUAACAAACCAUGUAAAAUAAGAUAAACUUAAAAUAUCUAAUUUAGACCUAAAAGAAAAUAAAACACUAAAAUGAUAUAAAAAUGUUAGAUUUGGUCAAAAAUUAGGUGUUUGCAGAAUGUCCCUCUUUGCUUGGUAAUAUGAAGAAUUUUCAAGCAAAGAAGUAAACAUGACUAAUUUUUUGCGUAACCAUUUAUUUAAAAGUAAUAUGUAAGUGAGUAGAAAAGAGGUGUGAUCGAGCCCUUAUUUUGGGCAUCCUACAUAUUUCGGGUUAUAGAAUCAGGUCACGUGUAGUUCAAAUGGGUAUAGGAAUGAAGGAAUGAGUUGGAGAGCCGAGUUGAGGUCUCGUCGAGUUUCCGGUCCGCAGUUCCUUUUAGUACAAAAGAAAAUGAAACUAGAAAUGAAAUUACAAGAUCCUAUCUAUUCUAUUUGUCUUGAUUCUCUUGCUUCAGAUCUUCCUCUUGAAUCUUCUGUUAUCGCCUCACCUUCUUCUGGUGGGUACCUUGAUCUCAAAAUUUGAUCUUGAAGUUAAGAUUUGAGACUUGAACUUGAGACUUGGAUUGAGUCAUUGACACUCUACCAAAGAACGGUUCAUAGAAUACUUUAGAUGCUUGUUCUCCUGAUCAGAAGCUAAAAAGAUGUCUCUUGAGAUGUUGGGCCGCUACGGAUGCAAAACUGACUCUAACUGUCUUCAAACUGACCAUUCUUAUAUAUUCUGACUGAAAACGAAAUUUCAUUCUUGCAUAAACCUGUGCUUUGCUGAAAAACCUGCAAGCCAUCAAAGAAAAUUAAAAAAAAUGACCGAAAUUUUUCUGCCCCAGUUUGCACUAGAAAAAUUUUGUGAGUUAUUAGAAAAGUUCCAAACUAAUUACUUAAGUGGAAAAGAUAGAAAUGCUAGAAACCUGAGCUAGGUAGAAAAAUUAACGAAGUCCCUAUUCUCAAUAAUGCAACCAAAGGAUAUUGUGCCUUGUGAAUGCAUGAAAAGAAAUAAGGAUUUUUUUUUAAAUACGACUGUGGAAUGUCCUAUCUAAGAUGUCAACUAGAGAAUUUCGUACCCUAUGAAGACGAAGAAGAAAAAUAAAAAAUGGUGUUUACAAAUAUGUCAACAAGGGGAUGGCGCCCUAUGAAGACGAAAAGAAAAUUAGGAAAUGGUGUUUCCUAAGAUGUCAACUAGGGGAUGACGCCCUAUGAAUACGAAGAAGAAAAUUAGAAAAUAGAGUUUCCUAAAAUGUCAACCAGGGGAUGACGUCCUAUGAAGACGAAGAAGAAAAAUAAAAAAUGGAGUUUCCUAAGAUGUCAACUAGGGGAUGACGCCCUAUGAAGAAGAAAAUAAAAUUAGGAAAUGGUGUUUCCUAAGAUGUCAACUAGGGGAUGGCGCCCUAUGAAUACGAAGAGGAAAAUUAGAAAAUGAAGUUUCCUAAAAUGUCAACUAGGGGAUGGCGCCCUAUGAAGACGAAGAAGAAAAAUAGAAAAUGGAGUUUCCUAAGAUGUCAACUAGGGGUUGUCGCCCUAUGAAGACGAAGAAGAAAAUUAGGAAAUGAUGUUUCUUAAGAUGUCAACUAGGGGAUGGAGCCCUACGAAGACGAAGAGAAAAAUUAGGAAAUGGUGUUUCCUAAGAUGUCAACUAGGGGAUGGUGCCCUAUGAAGACAAAGAAAAAAAAAUAGAAAAUGGUGUUUCCUAAGAUGUCAACUAGGAAAUGACGCCCUAUAAAGACGAAUAAGAUGUCAACUAGGGGAUGACAUCCUACGAAGACGAAAUAAGAUGUCAACUAGGGGAUGACAUCCUACGAAGACGAAAUAAGAUGUCAACUAGGGGAUGACAUCCUACGAAGACGAAAUAAGAUGUCAACUAGGGGAUGACGCCCUAUGAAUACGAAGAAGAAAAUUAGAAAAUAGAGUUUCCUAAAAUGUCAACCAGGGGAUGACGUCCUAUGAAGACGAAGAAGAAAAAUAAAAAAUGGAGUUUCCUAAGAUGUCAACUAGGGGAUGACGCCCUAUGAAUACGAAGAAGAAAAUUAGAAAAUAGAGUUUCCUAAAAUGUCAACCAGGGGAUGACGUCCUAUGAAGACGAAGAAGAAAAAUAAAAAAUGGAGUUUCCUAAGAUGUCAACUAGGGGAUGACGCCCUAUGAAUACGAAGAAGAAAAUUAGAAAAUAGAGUUUCCUAAAAUGUCAACCAGGGGAUGACGUCCUAUGAAGACGAAGAAGAAAAAUAAAAAAUGGAGUUUCCUAAGAUGUCAACUAGGGGAUGACGCCCUAUGAAUACGAAGAAGAAAAUUAGAAAAUAGAGUUUCCUAAAAUGUCAACCAGGGGAUGACGUCCUAUGAAGACGAAGAAGAAAAAUAAAAAAUGGAGUUUCCUAAGAUGUCAACUAGGGGAUGACGCCCUAUGAAUACGAAGAAGAAAAUUAGAAAAUAGAGUUUCCUAAAAUGUCAACCAGGGGAUGACGUCCUAUGAAGACGAAGAAGAAAAAUAAAAAAUGGAGUUUCCUAAGAUGUCAACUAGGGGAUGACGCCCUAUGAAUACGAAGAAGAAAAGAUAAGAUGUUCACUAAGGGAUGACGCCCUAUGAAGACGAAUAAGAUAUCAACUAGGGGAUGGCGCCCUAUGAAGAUGAAAUAAGAUGUCAACUAGGAGAUGACGCCCUAUGAAGAUGAGAUAAGAUGUCAACUAGGGGAUGGCGCCCUAUGAAGAUGAAUAAGAUAUCAACUAGGGGAUGGCGCCUUAUGAAAACGAAUAAGAUGUCGACUAUGGGAUGGCGUCCUAUGAAGAUGAAUAAGAUGUCAACUAGGGGAUGGCACCCUAUGAAGAUGAAAUAAGAUGUCAACUAGGGGAUGACACCCUAUGAAGACGAGAUAAGAUGUCAACUAGGGGAUGAAGCCCUAUGAAGACUAAUAAGAUGUCAACUAGAGGAUGACGCCCUAUGAAGACAAAGUAAGAUUUCCACUAGGGGAUGACGCCCUAUGAAGACGAAUAAGAUGUAAACUAGGGGAUGACACCCUUUGAAGACGAAUAAGAUGUCAACUAGGGGAUGACGCCUUGUGAAGACGAGAUAAGAUGUCAACUCGGGGAUAGCGCCCUAUAAAGACGAAUAAGAUGUCAACUAGGGGAUGACGCCCUAUGAAGACGAAUAAGAUAUCAACUAGGAGAUGGUGCCCUAUGAAGACGAAUAAGAUGUCAACUAGGGGAUGGCGCCCUAUGAUGACGAGAUAAGAUGUCAACUAGGGGAUGGCACCCUAUGAAGACGAAUAAGAUGUCAACUAGGGGAUGACGCCCUAUGAAGACGAAAUAAGAUGUCCACUAUGGGAUAACGCCCUAUGAAGAUGAAUAAGAUGUCUACUAGGGGAUGGCGCCCUAUGAAGACGAAUAAGAUGUCAACUAGGUGAUGUCGCCCUAUGAAGACGAAAUAAUAUGUGCACUAGGGAAUGUCGCCCUAUGAAGACGAAUAAGAUGUCAACUAGAGGAUGGUGCCCUAUGAAGACGAAUAAGAGUCAACUAGGGGAUUGUACCCUAUGAGGACGAAGAGAUCUUAACUAGGGGAUGGUACCCUAUGAGGAAGAAGACAAUUAGGAGUUUUGUUUCCUAAAGAGUACUCGGUAGAUGUUUUACCUAUUGGGGUAAGUGAGAUAUUUUUUUCUUAUUUUCUUUUUAUAAAAAAAAUAUGCCCAAGGUUUGGAUUCGAGGAACUUUGAUUUUUUUUUUAAUAGAAAAAAAUGCCCCAGUAUUAUACCUUUUAGGGAUGUAAAAAAAAAAAUUAUUCAGCGAGACCGAACUCUGUUGUAGGAUUGCCUACGUAUCUUGCGUAGCAAGAAUCAGGUCUAAUGUAGUUCACAAGAACAUAAUAUUUUCUUUUGAAAGUAUGUGCUUUGUAAACAUCUGGAGAAUGAAAAUUAAUUCAUUUCUUGACUUCAAUUGGUACCAACAAUUAGCAUUAUGGUUGAAUUAUCUCUAAUUACAUUCGAGCAAAAAUCAAGAUCAACCUAGAAGUGAUCCUUAUAGUUUCAAAUGGUACCUCGAAUAUACUUAAUUUUCAACAAGAUUUUUUUAUCUUGCCUCAAUCAAGUGUUUAAAAUCCUUCUUAUCCUCAAGUUUCAAGUCCCCUUACCACAACUAAAGUCCUAAUUUACUAGUAAUAAAAGAGUUCAUAUUUGAGGACACUCAAGAAUCACUCACACUCAGAAAGAUAUUCAACGCAUCAAUGAGAUACCAUAAGCUUGAAGAUCAUGUAAGUUUCCACUAAUGUGAGAACACUCAAAAUGAAAUCAUGUAGGACUUGUCAUUGGUUGAUAUUGUAGGCUUAGGGACAUGUAGGAUGAUAUUUGGGAGUUAAGUGACUAAUUCCUCAAUGAGCACUGCACUGUUUUCGUGCUUUUUCUAUUUGUUGCGGUUUGAAGCUCGAUCUUCUUUGUUGUGCUUCUUUGCCCCUUGUUGUGUAUUUUCUUCGACUUUGUUUGAAUCUUGUGCUGAAGCUUUUCCCCUUUUCUUUUCGAUAAAAGUCUUUUUUUUAUUAAUUUUUUUAUGAAGAUUCUCCAUCUUUAUUGGAGUUUUCUUUUUUUUUUUUAAUGGGAUUUUUUGCUCCUUUUUCUUUGAAGUCGUCUUUUAUUUUUGUUCUCCUGGGGCUAUACGUUCUUUGGCUUUGGCGUCUUUGAUCUUGAUUCUUCAUUCGCACCUUGUACGUAGUUAGUGCGCUCAAUGAGGUAGGCCAAAAGAGGGAUAGUGCAUAUAAGCACUCGAAAGGUAUAGACUCAGAUAUAGUUAUCCAAGGAAAAAGUUUCAGGCUCAAAGGGGAAAGUUCUAGGAAUUAAUGUCAUUUGGUGGUUUUGGAAUGCACAAUCGGAUCAAAGAAGGCCUACAAUCCUUUCCCAAACCAAGUGUAUCUCAAAAUUUCGCCUCACCAAACAUUCAAGCCAAGUUCUAGAUCAAUAGAGCGAUGCCUUUGAAUUUUCAAUCUAAAGCUCACCCCAAAAUGCACACGAAACAAUGAGCUAAGAUUUAUUUUAAACUUGACUUAGAGAAAUAAAACUUUACAAGUGAAACUUUAGUACAAUUAGAGAUACUGAAAGAAUCUGUAGUUCACAAUCAAGUUGGUCCUCUAUCGUAUCUCAUGAUACACUUAAUUUUUUUUUUACAAUUCAUAUUUUUAGGUAUGUUGGUAUCAAUUAUUAGGUCAAGAUUUAUUUUUUUAGAUGAGGCCGAACACAAAAGAAGAGUUGCCUACGUAUCUUGUUGAAACAAGAAUCAGGUCAAACAUAGUUCAGGAAGCUAAAAGAUGAAGCAAGAAUUUUUUAAUUUUUUUUUUUGAAUUUUGAAUUAGGAAAAACUUCUUUUUUUCUUUUCUAUUUUUGUUUUUGAAAUCUUAAUAAACACCUUUUUUAAAUUUAUAUAAGUAUUUCUUUUAGAAGAAGACUAACGUCCCUUUUUUUCAAAUUUAAUGAGGAUCACCGAACCUAAGAAGGGUUGCCUACGUAUCUCAUUAAGAUGAGAAUCAGGUGUGCAUAGUUCGUCCAGAUUGUGGCAAACUCGCUAAUUUAUAAAAUUAUUUUUUUGUUUUUUAUUGUGAAAGCAAAUCUCACAUCUUAUUUGAGUUUCGAAAGAAAGGAUAGGUUUUGGAGAGCAAUUUUCAGCCUCUCUUACUAGAGGCGGAUCCAGGAUCCGAACUCACCGGGUGCUAAGUAAUUCAAUCAGAUUAUUCAUCUUUUCGGUCUAUAGGACAAUUAACAAAUAAAUCAAUAAGCUCUUGAAGUUGCACAUCAAUGACCGUACAAAAGAUUUCAACACGCAAGUGGUGCGAAUAACAAACAUCUAAACACUUACGCUUUGACUUUUCGGGAAAAUAAGGCUCAUCUAAUUUGAGAAUCAAGAUAUCAUGUGAAUCACAAAAUGAAGAAACAUCAUUCAAAAAAUAUUCCCACCCAUUCUCUCUCAUAUCUUGCAAUUUUUUCUUUGAGAUGUUAAGAAACUCCACGGCAUUAACAAUAUCUUGAUCUUUUUUUUUUUUUUUGUAAAAUCUUGCUCAACUCAUUUGAUAUGGCCAACACUUUCAACAUCAAGUAAAGUAUAAAAACAAAUUUGAAUGUUCUAACCUUUGUCAAAAGAUAUUCUGCUUGAUUUCUAUCACUUGAAGUAGAACCUUCAAUUUCAAUCACUCCAAGAACAUGAACAAUGGAUGAAAAAUAACAAAAAAGUUAUCCAAUGUUUUGAAAUGUGAUCCCCAACGAGUAUCACCCGAUCUUUGAAUCCCAUGCUCUUGAUUUAAUCCUUGUUCGGUAUGAGUUUCAUCGGACUCAAGUAAUUGCUUCAAAUUUUCGGCUUGUUGAUGACGAAGUAAAUCUUGAUGUUUAAAAGAUCCUCCAACAACAUUCAGCACAUUAGUAGCAUGAUCAAAAAAGUCUUCAACUUCCACAUGCUUUUUAGCAAUAGCUACAAGUAUUAAUUGCAAUUGAUGUGCAAAACAAUGAAUAUAGUACGCCGAAGGACUAUCUUUCAUAAUUAAAAUUUUGAGAUCAUUUAUCUCUCCCUUCAUAUUACUAGCUCCAUCAUAACCUUGCCCACGUAUUUUGGAUAGACUUAAUGAAUGAUCAGAAAGCUAAGAAUAAAUUUCUUUCUUCAAUGAGCAAGCCGAUGUAUCACUAACAUGGACAAGACCGAUAAAUCAUUCCACUACUUCACCCUUUUUAUCAACAUAUCUCAAAACAAGAGCCAUUUGUUCUUUGUGUGAGAUGUCUUUGGAUUCAUCAACUAAUAUACCAAAAUAAUCUCCAUUCAAGUCCACAAUUAUAACUUUCAAUGUUUCUUUAGCACAGGGCAUUGACAAUAUCCUUUUGGAUCAUAGAACAAGUCAAAGUAUCAUUUUGUGGAGCUUUUUCUAAUAUCACUUUUCCCACAUCCGGAUGGUUGUCUCCAUGCCACCGCAAAAAUCCUAAAAAGUAGCCUUGAUUACUUGAAGAUUCACUUUCGUCAUGACCUCAAAAAGGCAAUUCAUAAUACAAAAGAAGUCUUGCUACAUUAAGUGAAGCUUCCAAACGCAUUCAGUAUUCACUUUUUGACUUUUCAGAAUGUUUGUCAAGAACAACUUGAAUUGAUUGACGAAGAUUUGAUUAAUCUAGCAUCUUAUUGUAACAUUUGUGGUGAACACUAUUAACUUUACCGACAUGCAAACGAAAUCUUUCAAGAGCCUUAUUCCAACCCCUAAAAUCCUUCGAUGCAUAAAAAUCACCCGUAGUUUCAUGAACAAAUUCAUUUUUGAAUAAAUAACAACAAAGACAAUAUGCAGCGUCUUUCUCCACACUUUACUCCAACCAAGUCAAAUGUGAACCUUUAAACCAACUUGAAGCAAAUUGAUGCAUUCUACCUCCUAUUUCACUUGAAGGAUAUGAUUUCAAGAUAGGUUGACAAGGCCCUUUUUAAUAUAAUAUUUCCUCACUUCAACUCGUAUUCGAGGAUCAUAAUCAGAAAUAGGUCUUCUUUCUCCCGGAUCAGAUUUAAGUGAACCAAAAUUGAGGUCAGUUAUAAGACAAGAACGAUUGACAUUGACAUUACUAGAACUAGAUUGAGAAUAAUUAACCUUCUUGAAAAAAAUUCUCCAUCUCAAUUCACAAAAUUAGAACACUUUCUCCUAAAUCAAGAUAAUUUCAAAUUUGGAUUUCUAGGUUUAAGAAAGAGAAACAAAAUAAUUUUUCAAAAUAACUUACAAAGAGAGCAAGCAACAAGCAAGAGUGCAGAGAGAAAGAGUAACCAGCAGCAGCAAAGCUCAAGAACAUAGAUGUUUUGAUUUGGUCCUUUUCUUUGGAAAUAGGGUUUUUGUUUUAAUUUUAAUGAAAGAUAAGUACCUUUUAAAUAAUUAAAUUAAAAAAAAGGUCAAAAAAUAAGAUUACUUUUAUACAAAAUUGCUAAUAGUGUGGCUUUGUGUGGAUGUGCCUUGUUUUUGAGAAUUAUUAUGCCUGUUGGUUUGCUGCCAAAAUGAUUUUUAAAAAACAAAUGUUGCUGGCCAGGUUUGAACACGCGCCUUGGGUCUACAAGUGCAGCACUUUGCCAACUGCACUAGACAACACUCUGUUAUUUCGGGUGCCAUGUUUAAUAUUUAACUAUAUCUCUAUAUAUAUACAGCUAUAUAUAGAGAGUUUCUGUCAAAGUUUGCAGGUGGCGUGCCACCCCCACGGGUCUUAAUAGAUUCGCCCCUGUCUCUUACGCUAAUGGAUUCCAAAGCCGAAAAACAUUCAAAUCAUCCUAACAGUUAAUGGAACUAGUGACACAAAAAAUAAAGUCUUAAAAUAGGGUACUUUUAGACGUUUAAAACUUUGUCGAGCCUCCACUAAGUUAAAAAUAGACGUUAUGCAAAUAAAGUAGAGCCUAAUAGGGAUAAUCAUGUCUAAGUUUUAGUUCUACUAGGUUUAACCUGACGGAGUUAGGUAUCUAGACUAGCUGUAAAACGAGAGGACAACUUGAGUUAGGCAGGGACAUCUUUACCGGUACCAGGGCUUUUUGGCCUCACUGUUGGUCCCUUCCCGUCCUAAAUCAUGGGUGACUACAGAAUCCUUCCCAGGAGUGUUGACGCGUCUCUGGUAUCUCAAGCUCUGGAGCGUAUACCGCAUCUCCGACUAUAAAGUAUCUCAGAAAACUCAGAUGGGUACGCGAGAGAAGAUAGUUUAUAUUGCAAUUCAAAUAAAUUAAAGCAGUUAAACAUGUAGGCAAAUAACAUAUUUAGGCCAACAAUAUACAAUAUCAAAAUUAAAUAAAGACAAACAAGUCAAUAUAAAAGCUCGAAUUCUGAUUAUAUCCCAAGCAGAGUCGCCAUCUGUCACACCCCUAUUUUUUACCGCCGCAGCCCCGCUAGGGAGUUGGUUUUAGAGAAAAUGGAUUUUUCCAAUUAAAGUGACGUUUUGAAAAGGGAUUAUUUAUUUUACAAACUCGCCACUUGGAAUUGAGUUUGGGUGUUCCAAGUCACCUUAUUGAAUCCCUAUUCAAAAGAAAAUGACUCUAAAUUUUAGUCUGCGAUAUAGAAAUCCAAAUAAGGAAUUCUAUUGACCAAAGGAAAAGUUUGAGGCACCCCUCGAGUCCCGUGGUUUUAGCACGGUCGCUUUAAUGACUUGUGUCUGGCUAUUAAUCUUUUAGAUAUUUAUAAUUUUUGUUAGCCUAAAAGUGAUUUCUAUCCCGCUUUUAUUUAUUUUUGAAUUGUUUAAUUAUAUUAAUGUGUGGCUUGCCAGUAGCAGUGCUUUUCGAUCAUGCCAUGGGUUUGGAUAUAUCUCUCGCGCCUUUGUGACAUUUAUGGAUCGUUUCCAUUUUCUCCAAGUCUAAGUAAGCAUCUAAUAAGUUUAGAAUCUGCCCAAUCCAACUCAAUCGGCUUCAAAUGGUAAGUUAAAUUUUAUUAUAACGAAUGGUCGGUAGCAGGGUUUUCCAAUUUCAUCGUUAGUUUCCACUUGUAUAUUAAAUUCUUAAUUAUUUAGAAGAUAAAAACAUAACUCAUUAUUUUACAAGUUCAUUCCUUUACAAUAGGUUUUUCCUCUCUUUUAAUUUAUCACAUAUGAUGGGUCUUGAAUAAGUCUGCAACCCAUUUUAUUUUAGGAAAAAUCACAUAGAUAUACACUUUAAGAGUAAAUAUUACAAAAUCUACCACUAGUUUUUUUUAUUUACAAAAUCUACCAACUAUUCAGUUUCUUUUUUUUUUCUGUAAAAAAUUUAAUCCAAAAAUCCUUUCUCUUCCUUUUUUAUCUCCUCUCUUCUUUCUUUGUAUAACAGAAAAUAUGGAUAGCUUUUGUAAUAUUGACUCUUAAAGUGUAUAUUUAUGUGAUUUGCCCUUAAUAAUUAAAAGCAUAUGCCUUAAUUAAUUUUGAGACACCAAAAUACCAUGACUAUUUAGAACCUUGGAUCCAUAAUGAUUCAAACACCCAUUAGUUAAAUAGACAACUAAUACUGAUCACAUUUAAUGCAAAUGGAUUAGAAAUGAAUCCUCCAUGCACGGUUAUUAAAGAAAAUUAGUUAUCACAUGCAGUAAAGCAAAUUUUAAUUUCAAACUUAUGAUUCUAAAUAGUUACACCAUACUUGAAUCCAAAACUUACUUCACAUUUAAAUAACAACACGAUUUUUUUACGUGUCAUUGUAUGUGUAACUGUUUCCUUGAUCAAUUCAGGUUAGUGAAGAAUGUCGACCAAAGAAAUGAUUAAUGGUUUAAGAUGCAUCCAAUUUUGUCUGAAAUUUAAUGAACCUAGUGGUUGAGUUAUUUUUUUUUAUAUUUUUUUUUAUAAAAAGAAAAUAUGUCACUAUUAGAAAUCAUUACCCCGUAAUUAAUAUAUAUUUUUUUAUUAACAUUUAACUACUCCACUGUCCACAAUUUUCAUGCAAUUCCGUGUCAACACAGUAGAACCAAAUCAUAUGGUUGCUAAAAAUAUUAUAAAUUUAAUGGACUAUUGUAUCUUUUUUUUUUUGUUUGCUCAUUGCAUUUGAUAAGGGCAAAAUUUAAAAAAAAAAAAAAGAUAAUAAACUCUUUCAUUAACUUUAGGAUAAUGAUUUAGCAUCUAAAUAAGAAAAACUACAAUAUUAAUAUUUCUCACAUACGGUGAAUGACGUCGCCGUUCCAACCUAGACAUGUAUCAUAACUAAGGCUUCAAAAUAUGAAAAUAACAAUGGGUUCGAUAAUUACUUAACAUACAAUAGAGUAUGAAAUGUUACGGAAGUUUUAUACUAAAUCUAACGAAAAUAAAAAUAUUCUAACAUACUUUAUAUUAUCAUGUCAAAGAAUAAUAAACCGAACGAAUGCAAAAACAAGAGGAAACUUCGUAAUAUUAAAAUCAAGUCUUGUACAAUUACAAUAGUAAAUUAUACAAGAGAGAUUAGAGGUUACCUCUUGCGAAAAUUAAUUUACAAUAAGAGGAACGAACGGACCACGAACUCGGAACGUAAACGAAACCUCAAAACUCGAAGGGAUUAAUUAAUUGUUAUAUUUUUUUUAUUUUGGAACGUGAAUGGCUGAGAAUUGUUUGUUGGAUUUUUUUUUUUUUUUUUGAUAUAUGUUAGGGAGUAUAAGGAUUAUUAUAGUAGGGUGUAGUUUGUAGUAUUGAAUGUCUUUUUUUUUUCUAUAAUGUGUUGAUUUCCCCCCGUAUAUUUUCUCACUAUCCGUGUAUAUGUCCCCCCUCUUUCUAGUGUUUUAUGUGUGUGUUUAUAUAGGGAGUGUGUAUGUGUGUAGUGCAGAAGUUAGGUUUAGUGCAUGUGUGUUUGUGUAGUGGGGAAGUUAGGUUUGGGAGAUGAU
rnacentral:lncRNA from 1 species